AUAUGUAUACAUAUAUACACACGUGUGUGUAUGUAUACAUAUACACACGUGUGUGUAUAUAUGUAUACAUAUA
rnacentral:pre_miRNA from 13 species